UCCCUGGUGGUCUAGUGGUUAGGACUCCGUGCUUCUAAUGCUGGGGGCACAGGUUCGAUCCCUGGUUGGGAAA
rnacentral:tRNA from 1 species